UACGGGGGGAGCAAGCGUUGUUCGGAUUUACUGGGCGUAAAGGGCGCGUAGGCGGCCACCGCAAGUCGGUUGUGAAAUCUCCGGGUUUAACCCAGAAAGGUCAACCGAUACUGCGGGGCUAGAGUGCAGAAGGGGCAACUGGAAUUCUCGGUGUAGCGGUGAAAUGCGUAGAUAUCAGGAGGAACACCGGUGGCGAAAGCGGCUUCCUGGCCCGACACUGACGCUCAUGUACGAAAGCGUGGGGAGCAAACAGG
rnacentral:rRNA from 1 species